rnacentral:lncRNA from 1 species
UGGGGGACGUUGGGUUGUUCCUUCCGGUUCCGAACUGUAGUAUAAAGAAGAGAAGUUGAUGGACCUGACCCGUUCUAAAAGUGAAGGGGCUCUUUCGAGCUGGGGAGGAUCAUGUUCCUGGGUAGUGUUUUCGGGUUGUUGAGUAGGUGGGAAUUUGUAGAAGGAGAAGUAGUCGAUGGACUUGACCCGUUGUAAAAGAGAAGGGGCUCUUUCGAGCUGGGGAGGAUCGUGUUCGUGGGUGGUGUUUGCGGGUUCUUGGGCAGGUGGGAAGUUGUAGAAGGAGAAGUAGUCGAUGGACUUGACCCGUUGUAAAAGAGAAGGGGCUCUUUCGAGCUGGGGAGGAUCGUGUUCAUGGGUGGUGUUUGCGGGUUCUUGGGCAGGUGGGAAGUUGUAGAAGGAGAAGUAGUCGAUGGACUUGACUCGUUGUAAAAGAGAAGGAGCUCGAGCAAGGUGCUGGCCUUCGUGUACUGGUUUAUUGUGAGUACCAUAACGGGAAGCAAGAGCAAUGGUGGCAAUCAUAAUAUUCAGG